UACGGGGGGGGCAAGCGUUGUUCGGAAUUACUGGGCGUAAAGGGCGCGUAGGCGGCCUACUAAGUCGGACGUGAAAUCCCUCGGCUCAACCGAGGAACUGCGUCCGAUACUGGCAGGCUGGAAUCCGGGAGAGGGAUGUGGAAUUCCAGGUGUAGCGGUGAAAUGCGUAGAUAUCUGGAGGAACACCGGUGGCGAAGGCGGCAUCCUGGACCGACACUGACGCUGAGGAGCGAAAGCCAGGGGAGCAAACGGG
rnacentral:rRNA from 1 species